CUUGGUUAAAAAAAUCAUAUUCUAUUCUUCCUUCCCCUCCCCUGUAAAGAUUAAAAUUUAGGGGAAACUGAGGCAGGGUAGAAAUUAGUUUCUCUCUGCAAGGAGUAUUAUAUUUUUAGAGGUUUAUUUAAGAUUAAGAACUCAAGAAUAUACAAGUAAGAAAGCACAUGUCUAGGCCAGAGAGAGAGGCCUAGACAACCUCACCUACAUCAUGAAAGACCCGUCUGCUUGCAAGCGGAAACAGGAAAGAAAAGAGAGGCCCAGAAGCCUUUCAAUCAGGUUAAAUACCCCAUCUCGAUCUCGACCCAGGUGAGAAUUCAGUGAUAUUACAAAGCAUUCUGGGGAAGUGGAGCAAGGACUUCUGGGGAUUGAAGUCCUGGAUUCAAGUCUCCAUUUUUACACCCCUCACCCCAACCAUAGCCGACGCAUAAUUCCACUGAGUAUUCCAUGUGUCCUUGAUCAGAACUCAUUUCCAUGUUGUUGGUGUUUGCAUUAGAGUGUUCAUUUAGAGUCUAUUUUUUUUUUAUAAAAAGGUUCUAAAUUUGUAUCAUUUUUUGUCACCAUUAUUUCUUUAUUAAGGGCCUGUUGUGUGCUAGGUUCUAACAUCUAAGGAAAAUAGGGAAGGUUUGCUGUAGAAGGUGGAAUCUGAGCUGAAUAUUGGAGGAAGCAAAAAAUUCUAAGAGGGGAAGAUGAGAAGGGAGUUCCUUCUAGGGAGCAGAGCAAAAGAAGAGGCGCUCAGUAGGAAACUUCAACGCUAUAGUUUAUAUGCCUUUCCAGUAUCUCUUGCUUCCAACGUUUACUCUGGCAACUGACCUUGUUCAGUGGGGUAUCUAUGGAUUGGGGCAUGAUGAAGCAUAUUGUGAUAUACAAAGCAUAAUAUUAUAGCAAUACAAAGAAUGGAAAAAAUGAAGAAUUCAGAGAAGCAUGAAAUAAUUUAUAUGAAUUCACUUAAAGCAAGAAAAGAGGACAGAAAUAACAUGUAUGUUGACAUUAGCAUAUAACUGAAGAAAACACAAGAAGCCAGCAAAAACCAGAUCAAAUGAGAUUGUCAAUGCUGAUUCCAGUUAUUGGAACAACUCCUUCUCCUCACUGAAGAAGAAAUGAACUACAGGUAAAGAAUAUCACACUCACUAUUAAUUGUAGAUUCUAUAAUGAGGUUUUAUUUAAUAGUUUUUUUUGGACAAGGUCAUUGAGAUUUUCCAUUCAAGGGAUAUAUUGAUAAAUGUCUGACAGAUGGCUCUCCAAAAAACAAAAUUGCUAAC
rnacentral:lncRNA from 1 species